GACGAACGCUGGCGGCGUGCUUAACACAUGCAAGUCGAGCGGAGCGUCGAACUGGUGAGUAACGCGUGAGUAACUGCCCCCCUCUCUGGGAUAACAGUUGGAAACGGCUGCUAAUACCGGAAAGUGGGGGAUGAGGCGCGGCCGAUCAGCUUGUUGGUGGGGUAGUGGCCUACCAAGGAGACGACGGGUAGCCCGCCUGAGAGGGCGACCGGCCCAAUUGGGCUAGGAUACGACCCAAACUGCUACGGGAGGCAGCGGUGGGGAAUAUUGCGCAAUGGGGGAAACGCUGAUGCAGCAACGCGCGUGCGGGAUGACGGCCUUCGGGUUGUAAACCGCUUUCAGCCAUGACGCGGUAGUGGCAGAAGAAGCACCGGCUAACUACGUGCCAGCAGCCGCGGUAAUUC
rnacentral:rRNA from 1 species